AACGAACGCUGGCGGCGUGGAUAAGACAUGCAAGUCGAACGGAAUAUCCUUUGUAGCAAUACAAAGGAUGUUCAGUGGCGUAAGGGUGCGUAACACGUGGGCAAUCUACCGAGAAGUGGGGGAUAGCUCGCCGAAAGGCGAAUUAAUACCGCAUGUGGUUAGCGAAGACAUCUUCGCGACACUAAAGCCGGGGACCAUAGCAAUAUGGCCUGGCGCUUCUUGAUGAGCCCGCGGCCUAUCAGCUUGUUGGUGGGGUAACGGCCCACCAAGGCGAUGACGGGUAGCUGGUCUGAGAGGACGACCAGCCACACUGGAACUGAGACACGGUCCAGACACCUACGGGUGGCAGCAGUCGAGAAUUUUUCUCAAUGG
rnacentral:rRNA from 1 species